GGACUACCAGGGUAUCUAAUCCUGUUUGCUCCCCACGCUUUCGUGCAUCAGCGUCAGUUAUGACUUAGUGAGCUGCCUUCGCAAUCGGUGUUCUGUGUCAUAUCUAAGCAUUUCACCGCUACAUGACACAUUCCGCCCACCUCAAUCAUACUCAAGAUCAUCAGUAUCAAUGGCAAUUCUACAGUUAAGCUGUAGGCUUUCACCACUGACUUAAUAACCCGCCUACGCACCCUUUAAACCCAAUAAAUCCGGAUAACGCUCGGGACCUUCGUAUUACCGCGGCUGCUGGCAC
rnacentral:rRNA from 2 species